UGGGGAAUAUUGCACAAUGGGCGGAAGCCUGAUGCAGCGACGCCGCGUGAGGGAUGACGGCCUUCGGGUUGUAAACCUCUUUCAGUAGGGAAGAAGCGAGAGUGACGGUACCUGCCAAAGAAGCCCCGGCUAACUACGUGCCAGCAGCCGCGGUAAUACGUAGGGGGCGAGCGUUGUUCGGAAUUAUUGGGCGUAAAGCGCGUGUAGGCGGUUUGGUAAGGCAGGUGUGAAAUCCUCGGGCUCAACCCGGGGUUUGCAUCUGCGACUGCCAGGCUGGAGUGUGAGAGGGGAGAGCGGAAUUCCUGGUGUAGCGGUGAAAUGCGUAGAUAUCAGGAGGAACACCCGUGGCGAAGGCGGCUCUCUGGAUCACUACUGACGCUGAGACGCGAAAGCUAGGGGAGCAAAC
rnacentral:rRNA from 1 species